UACUUGUACCGACUGGAUGAGCAGCGAACGGGUGAGUAACGCGUGGGGAAUCUGCCUUUGAGCGGGGGACAACAUUUGGAAACGAAUGCUAAUACCGCAUAAAAACUUUAAACACAAGUUUUAAGUUUGAAAGAUGCAAUUGCAUCACUCAAAGAUGAUCCCGCGUUGUAUUAGCUAGUUGGUGAGGUAAAGGCUCACCAAGGCGAUGAUACAUAGCCGACCUGAGAGGGUGAUCGGCCACAUUGGGACUGAGACACGGCCCAAACUCCUACGGGAGGCAGCAGUAGGGAAUCUUCGGCAAUGGACGAAAGUCUGACCGAGCAACGCCGCGUGAGUGAAGAAGGUUUUCGGAUCGUAAAACUCUGUUGGUAGAGAAGAACGUUGGUGAGAGUGGAAAGCUCAUCAAGUGACGGUAACUACCCAGAAAGGGACGGCUAACUACGUGCCAGCAGCCGCGGUAAUACGUAGGUCCCGAGCGUUGUCCGGAUUUAUUGGGCGUAAAGCGAGCGCAGGUGGUUUAUUAAGUCUGGUGUAAAAGGCAGUGGCUCAACCAUUGUAUGCAUUGGAAACUGGUAGACUUGAGUGCAGGAGAGGAGAGUGGAAUUCCAUGUGGUA
rnacentral:rRNA from 1 species